UACGGAGGGGGCUAGCGUUGUUCGGAAUUACUGGGCGUAAAGCGCACGUAGGCGGUUUGUCGCGUUGUUCGUGAAAACUCACAGCUCAACUGUGGGCGUGCGGGCGAUACGGGCAGACUGGAGUACUGCAGGGGAGACUGGAAUUCCUGGUGUAGCGGUGGAAUGCGCAGAUAUCAGGAGGAACACCGGUGGCGAAGGCGGUUCUCUGGGCAUGUCCUGACGCUGAGGAGCGAAAGUGUGGGGAGCAAACAGG
rnacentral:rRNA from 1 species